CACGUAGGGGGCAAGCGUUGUCCGGAUUUAUUGGGCGUAAAGAGCUCGUAGGUGGUUCGGUAAGUCGGGUGUUAAACCCCCAGGCUCAACCUGGGGACGCCACUCGAUACUGCUGUGACUAGAGUCCGGUAGGGGAGCGUGGAAUUCCUGGUGUAGCGGUGAAAUGCGCAGAUAUCAGGAGGAACACCAGCGGCGAAGGCGGCGCUCUGGGCCGGUACUGACACUGAGGAGCGAAAGACGUGGGGAGCGAACAGG
rnacentral:rRNA from 1 species